CAGUACGACUGUCGUACUAUGUACAUACAUCUAUACAUACCACCUAUUUUACGUAUCUGAUAAAGCACGCUCGGUCCCGCCAUGAAUUUUGCACAACACGACGCAAUGUGUUCCGUGCCAUCUUGUGACAGAAUUAUGCAAUAUGUCUGAUACGAGCGAUCUCUUUUCUUCGAUUAGAUGUGGGAUGUUAACCUCUUGCGUUUCAUAUAUUUGUUUAACAGCCAUAGCAAACUAUUCUAAACAAUUUUCUAUAAAAGAUCAGAUUCACAUAUUACCAUAAUAUCAAUGAAUAUAUACCAAAUAAUACAUUAUUUUAAUACAUAAAUAUAAUUCUUUUCUACACUUUUUAAUAACAAUUUAUAACAACAACUAAAUUGUUUCUCCGAAGAUAAACUAAUAUCGAUCAGUACGAUUGCUGGGGAAAACAAUAACCACCAUUUCAAUAUCAUCAUUAAUGAUGUGACGAAGUUCACGUAAGUAUGUAUCAGUUCUAUCAUCUUUUAAAGAAAUUUCGCGGGGACUGCUAAUUUGUAGACCUAAAUUUAAUGAAAUAUCAAGGAGCAUUUUGAUGAAUGCUGUAGUGUAUUUUGUAUCUCGCUGAGAAUAAAAAAUACACCAAUUUGUCAAACUCGGCUGUAAUGAGUUUUUUUUAUUAAAAAUUUUGCAGUAAAUUAUGUUGUAAUAAAUUUGUAGCAAUCAUACUCACAGCACGUAAAGCAUGAUUAUUAACCAUUUCAAUAUUCCAUUCAGCAUUUGGUUUUCCUUGUAUCAUCUUAUUCUUACCAAAAUAUAUACGUUCAGGCAUUAGAACACGUCCUUUCAAAUGAGUUAAAUCAUUAUCGAGCUGUAAACCCCACGCAGAUAAUAUUUCUUGUGUUACGCUAUUUUUUUUUAUUUCUUGUAAAAAAUUCCUUAUUAUAUCACGGCGACUGUUAGGAGAAACUUUUGUAAUUGUAUUAAGAUCUUUCAUAAUUCUACAGUCUGAUCUGAUACUAUCCGUUAAUCCAGCGACAUAACAUAAUUCAGGUACUAGAAGUGUAAGUUUUUCGUGUGUCUGAAAAAAAUUCCUUUUAUUGUCCAAUUUUCUUAUACUCGUAAUUAUUAUAACAACAAGGAAUAUAAAAUAUCUAAUAAAUGAAAAAUAUAUGUACCUGCCCAGUAGAUAAUUUUUCUUUAGAACGAUGUACUAAAAGUGGCUGGGUUUUAUCUUUAAUUUCCAAACUCCAAUGAUUUUUAUAAUAAUCUAUUAUAGUCGUUUUUAUACCUUGUCUCUCAAAUUGAAACAUUGGAUUUUUGUCCCAUGCAAUGUCAUCAAUACGAUAAGUCUUAUUAUUAUAUCGAGUUAGAACACUAGACCCAACAACUUCCAUUGUUAUAUAAUCUUUGUAAUGCUGUUGGUUCUUUUUAUGAAUUUCAAUCCUAAAAAAUAAAUAUUUAUCUUCACAUUAUGUGAAUAUUACGUAUAUAUAUGUAAUCUUUACAAAACUACAUGUAUAGUUUUGUAAGUUUUGUAAUUUAUAUGAUAGCUUAGUAUAUAAAAUAGAUAAAAAAUAAAAAAAUUCCUAUAAAUAUAUAUUUAAAAAUAUCUAGAAGCUAAAAGAAAAUUGUAACUUUAUGAUAGAACAGUAUUAUUUAUAUUUACUAUUAAUAUUGUAUUUGUAAUAAAAUAUUUUUACAUAUAUAUAUAUAGGAAUUUAUUCUAAUAUCCUGUAAAUAUAUAUAUAUACACACAUGCUCUUACAUCAAAUCUCGAACUGUUUCCAUACGCAUAACUCGAUGUUUUGCAUCAAUGCAAAGUUUUAAUCCACUUUCAUAUUCAUUAAUAGCUGUAACAUAACCAGGCCACACUUCUAAUUGGUGCUGUGGUACAGUAUGAGCACAUGCAGGAUUAAAAUUUUGUCUGCCGAUACGAACUAAAUUAAGAGCUCUCAUAAUACGUCCAAAAAGAACAUUAAAAAAUUGGACACUUUCACUCAUCUUUUCUUUCUUUUUAAAAAUAAGAGUAAGGAUCACUGGAGACCCAUCUAAUGGAUGAUUAGAUUUGUACACUAUUUUCUGAAAGUAUUUUCACAUUUUAUAUAUAUUAUUAUAUUUGAAAUUGUAAUUUUUAAGAGAUUUUACCUCUUGUGGAAAUUUGUGAGGUAAAUAUAAAAGAACUCCAUCGAAACUUAAGGUGUGUCCAAGUUUAGCUGCAUGCUGAUUCAAAAGUUUUCUUCUCAGAGCUCUUGAAUCAAUAUCAGGAUUGAAUUUAACUUCAUAUUGGAAUAAUCCCCUUCCUGGAUCUAGUUUUAAAUCGAUGUAAUUAGCAAAUAUAUCUACCCUAAACAUAAAAUAUAAUAACUUGUAAAAGAUAAUGAUUAAUACCUUUAUUAGUAUAGAUUUUUUAAUAAUGUAACAAUAUUUAAAUAAUAAAUCAAAUAUUAAAAAUA